rnacentral:rRNA from 1 species
UGCGAAGGGGGCUAGCGUUGUUCGGAAUUACUGGGCGUAAAGCGCACGUAGGCGGAUAUUUAAGUCAGGGGUGAAAUCCCGGGGCUCAACCUCGGAACUGCCUUUGAUACUGGGUAUCUUGAGUAUGGAAGAGGUAAGUGGAAUUGCGAGUGUAGAGGUGAAAUUCGUAGAUAUUCGCAGGAACACCAGUGGCGAAGGCGGCUUACUGGUCCAUUACUGACGCUGAGGUGCGAAAGCGUGGGGAGCAAACAGG